GUGGUUAACCAGAUUCUGGGGCAUGGGUGUGGCUCGGAUGGACUGCUGCUGAGGUAACCCCAGGUGUGAAUCCCCAGGUUGGUCCCCAGCACGGAAAAGAAGGGAAGGGAGAAGCAGAAGGAAUAAAGAGAACGAGUUGUGGAGAUGAUUGCAGACACCGGACGGAGCAGGAUGCAGCGGCUGGCCGAGGCUUAGAUAAGCUGCUUACUCAGCCGUCUGUGAAUGCUUUCUGUGUGAAACACUGGCAUGGGGAGGCCUUGUGUGCUUGAACAGAUACAGUUCAAGGGUGAAACAUGGCAGACCCUAUGGAUUGGACCUCUCGUUUUGUUUUUAAACUUACACAUUUGUGAGCAUCUCCUGGAAACUUCAGCUUGUUUGCUCAGCGUUCUUUGUGUCUAGAGGAGGCCGUGUGACAGUGCUCUGCCAUUGACUGUUCCUGCAACCAUGGAGAAAUGCCCGGAACCAAUGCCAGCAGCUGCCUACCACUUCUGCAGGGUAAUAAGAAAGCCAAAACCUAUGCUUAAGCCACUGCUAGUUGAAUUUUUCUGUUGUUUGCAGGGAGAGCACUCCUAACAUAUAUGUUCUUGCAAAAUGCAGAUGGUUCUUAUUUCAUAAUGUUUUAUGAGGAUUAAAUACACAGAACAUCUAACAGUUACCUGAAUAGGCCAUUUUCAUAGCUCUUUGUCCAUCAUCCUACCUCCUGGAUCAACUUAGCUAUGUUUUAGAGGGAAACUGCAGUUGGAUCUUGUCUGGCAGGCCACACUCAAGUGCAGUGUUCUGAUUAGCAAAGUGUUAAUUUUAUAUACAGUGACAUAGAGUUAGGAUUACAUCUUCUGGUUGGUCUCAUACUCCAAUUUGUCAUGUUGACUUUUUGUGUGGCUCUCUUUCUGCAGAAAAGUCACUGCUCCAGCAUCUUCUUGGAGAGGGUGUAAUUAUGCUGAGCCCGUUUAAUUAUUUCCCUCUGGACCCAUUAAGUACCUUUUGCCUACCCAGAAACUCCCUUGUCAGUUUUCUACAAGCUCAAAAGGCCUGGCAUUAUUUGCUGUUUGUCUUUGUUAAUUUAGCUGCAGCCUAAAGCAGGACUGGGUACAUCCAGAAUGUAAGACUGCUAUCAGCAAACAUGGGUAUGACUGGAGAGACCUGCAUGGAAAUUCUUCCCCUGCAUGUGAACUUGAUUCUGGCGUUGCCCAUUUAUCUUAUAUUUGAGUUAUUUUUGGUCUUACAUGGUCUCUAUAAAAAUGCAUGCAUGCCUGACAGACUUCUAAGCUUGCUAGUACCUGGCUGAGUUAUGACAAUGUAGUGGAAAGUAGUUAAUAAAAAGAGAAAAUGUUAAAUGCGACUGGAACCUGCCUCUACAGGAAGAUGGGAAGGACCCUGAAAAGGAUGGAUGGGGACUUACUUUGUCCAUAUAAUUGUUUGGGACUUAAAAUAUGUAUCAAGCAGCCGGGAAUUGGUGGCACAGCCUUUAAUCCCAGUACUCAGGAGGCAAAGGCAGGCAGAUCUCUGUGAGUUGGAUUAUUUUUCUUACUGUGUGCCUAUUGUCUCUCUCAGAUGCCAUGAACACUCAUACCUCAGAGAUACUGCAGGCUUAGUUCCAGACCAUUCUGCUUCAAGAAAGUGUAUAUUGCAGGAAAGCAAGUCUCACAACUUGUUUUGGCUUUCAGUACGUAUACAAGUUGUGCUGUGUGUUACAGGAAUAAUAGCAUUGUGUGUCAAAUAACAUUGUAUAUGUCUCAAUUAAAAUAUUCUUUACUAAGAACUUGUUAACUAUUACCUCUGCCUUCAGCGAGUGAUGGUAUUUUUGCUGGUGGAAGUUUUGCCUUGAUGUUGAUAGCCUGACUGAACCAGCUUGUGAUGUUCAAU
ensembl:lncRNA